GGGGCUGUAGCUCAGUGGUAGAGUGUUUGCUUAGCAUGCAUGAGGCACUGGGUUCCAUCCUCAGCACCA
rnacentral:tRNA from 1 species